rnacentral:rRNA from 1 species
UGGGGAAUUUUGGACAAUGGGCGAAAGCCUGAUCCAGCAAUGCCGCGUGUGUGAAGAAGGCCUUCGGGUUGUAAGGCACUUUUGUCCGGAAAGAAAUCCUUGGCUCUAAUACAGUCGGGGGAUGACGGUACCGGAAGAAUAAGCACCGGCUAACUACGUGCCAGCAGCCGCGGUAAUACGUAGGGUGCAAGCGUUAAUCGGAAUUACUGGGCGUAAAGCGUGCGCAGGCGGUUUGCUAAGACCGAUGUGAAAUCCCCGGGCUCAACCUGGGAACUGCAUUGGUGACUGGCAGGCUAGAGUAUGGCAGAGGGGGGUAGAAUUCCACGUGUAGCAGUGAAACGCGUAGAGAUGUGGAGGAAUACCGAUGGCGAAGGCAGCCCCCGUGGGCCAAUACUGACGCUCAUGCACGAAAGCGUGGGGGAGCAAACAGGAUUAGAUACCCCUGGUAGUCCACGCCCUAAACGAUGUCAACUAGUUGUUGGGGAUUCAUUUCCUUAGUAACGUAGCUAACGCGUGAAGUUGACCGCCUGGGGAGUACGGUCGCAAGAUUAAAACUCAAAGGAAUUGACGGGGUCAUAGCUGUUUCCU